rnacentral:rRNA from 1 species
GAUGAACGCUGGCGGCGUGCCUAAUACAUGCAAGUCGAGCGAACAGACGCGGCGCUUGCUCCUCUGACGUUAGCGGCGGACGGGUGUGUCACACGUGGAUACUCUACCUAUCAGUCUGGGAUAACUUCGGGACACCGGCGCUAAUACCGGAUAACAUGUUGAACCGCAUGGUUCAACAGUGAAAGACGGUCUUGCUGUCACUUCUCGAUGGAUCCGCGCCGCAUUAGCUAGUUGGUAAGGUAACGGCUUACCAAGGCAACGAUGCGUAGCCGACCGGAGAGAGUGAUCGGCGACACUGGAACGGAGCCACGGUCCAGACGCCUACGGGAGGCAGCAGAAGGGAAUCUGCCGCAAUAGGCGAGAGCCUGACGGAGCAACGCCGCGUGAGUGAAGAAAAUCUCCGGAUCGUAAAACUCUGUUAUUAGUGAAGAACAAAUGUGUAAGUAACUAAGCACGGCUUGACGGUACCUAAUCAGAAAGCCACGGCUAACUACGUG